rnacentral:rRNA from 1 species
UACGUAGGUGGCAAGCGUUAUCCGGAAUUAUUGGGCGUAAAGCGCGCACAGGCGGUUUCUUAAGUCUGAUGUGAAGGCCCACGGCUCAACCGUGGAGGGUCAUUGGAAACUGGGGAACUUGAGUGCAGAAGAGAAAAGCGGAAUUCCACGUGUAGCGGUGAAAUGCGUAGAGAUGUGGAGGAACACCAGUGGCGAAGGCGGCUUUUUGGUCUGUAACUGACGCUGAGGCGCGAAAGCGUGGGGAGCAAACAGG